CUACGUAGGUGACAAGCGUUAUCCGGAUUUACUGGGCGUAAAGGGCGUGUAGGCGGUCUUGCAAGUCAGAAGUGAAAUUCCUGAGCUCAACUCGGGCGCUGCUUCUGAAACUGCAGGACUUGAGUGCUGGAGGGGAUAGCGGAAUUCCUAGUGGAGCGGUAAAAUGCGCAGAUAUUAGGAAGAACACCGGUGGCGAAGGCGGCUAUCUGGACAGUAACUGACGCUGAGGCGCGAAAGCGUGGGGAGCAAACAGGAUUAGAUACCCGGGUAGUCCACGCCGUAAACGAUGAAUACUAGGUGUAUGGGGUAUCGACUCCCUCUGUGCCGCAGUUAACACAAUAAGUAUUCCGCCUGGGGAGUACGGCCGCAAGGUUGAAACUCAAAUGAAUUGACGGGG
rnacentral:rRNA from 1 species